AGGCAAUAGAUACCCAGGUAGUCCUGGCCCUAAACGAUGUCUACUAGAUCGUGGCGGCACUGACGCCGUCAUGGUCGAAGCAAAAGUGUUAAGUAGACCGCCUGGGAAGUACGGUCGCAAGGCUAAAACUCAAAGAAAUUGACGGGGGCUCACACAAGCGGUGGAGCAUGUGGUUCAAUUCGAAGCAACGCGAAGAACCUUACCUGGGCUUGACAUGCUAGGAUUAUCUUGAUGAAAGUCGAGUAGGCCCCGCAAGGGGUACAACUAGUACAGGUGCUGCAUGGCUGUCGUCAGCUCGUGUCGUGAGAUGUCGGGUUAAGUCCCUUAACGAGCGAAACCUUUGCCCUUAGUUGCCAUCGGGUUAUGCCGGGCACUCUAAGGGGGACUGCCGGUGUCAAACCGGAGGAAGGUGGAGAUGACGUCAAGUCCUCAUGGCCUUUAUGCCCAGGGCUACACACGUGCUACAAUGGCGUCCACAAAGCGAGCCGAGAGCGCAAGCUGGAGGAAAUCGCAGAAAUGACGCCCCAGUUC
rnacentral:rRNA from 1 species